UACGUAGGGUGCAAGCGUUGUCCGGAAUUAUUGGGCGUAAAGAGCUCGUAGGCGGUUUGUUGCGUCGGCUGUGAAAUCCCGAGGCUCAACCUCGGGUCUGCAGUCGAUACGAGCAAACUAGAGUGUUGCAGGGGAGACUGGAAUUCCUGGUGUAGCGGUGAAAUGCGCAGAUAUCAGGAGGAACACCGGCGGCGAAGGCGGGUCUCUGGGCCGUAACUGACGCUGAGGAGCGAAAGCGUGGGGAGCGAACAGG
rnacentral:rRNA from 1 species